GUGUCAGCCGCCGCGGUAAUACGGAGGAUGCAAGCGUUAUCCGGAUUUAUUGGGUUUAAAGGGUGCGUAGGCGGGAUAAUAAGUCAGUGGUGAAACCCUGCAGCUUAACUGUAGACUUGCCAUUGAUACUGUUAUCCUUGAGUGUGGUCAAGGUAGGCGGAAUGUGUAAUGUAGCGGUGAAAUGCUUAGAUAUUACACAGAACACCGAUUGCGAAGGCAGCUUGCUGGACCAUUACUGACGCUGAUGCACGAAAGCGUGGGGAUCGAACAGGAUUAGAUACCCUGGUAGUCCACGCCGUAAACGAUGAUCACUCGCUGUUGGCGAUACACAGUCAGCGGCUAAGCAAAAGCAUUAAGUGAUCCACCUGGGGAGUACGGCCGCAAGGCUGAAACUUAAAUGAAUUGACGGGG
rnacentral:rRNA from 1 species